CUUAGUAAGAACUCCUUAACAACUUAAAGCUUUAUCCCUGUGAGUACCAGAAAAGUGAUCUGAGUAUUUAUUGAGCAGGGAGAACAAACUGCUUGCUCCAGUCAGGGAGAAAGCUUAUGGAAAUGAUAUUAGACCUUCAGCAAAGUGCACAGCUGCAUCAUACAGAAGCUGAGACUCAAACUGACAGGCAAAUAAGCCAGAUCACGGAAGGGGCCUCUGUGUGGCAGCUCUGAGCUACCAAGUGUUGGACAACUAGGCAAAAAGUGCAAUGGAACAGGGCAGAAAAUAGCACACUAACUUCAGGCAACUGUUGCUUUUUCAUGGUCUUUAGGGAUUUUACACUGCGUAUCUGGAAAAACAAGUCACCGUUUAAACACUAAGUCUACAGCUUGAAUGAUCUGGAAGGUAACAUUUUCUGUAGAUGAAAACUUCUGCCUGCUGUGAUAUCCCACUCUUUGAGUGAUGCCACAUGCAGCACUGAGUAGUACUGGCAAACGGAAGAGAUUUCGUGGAAUAAGGUGUGCAGCUGCCAUUCUGUCUCAGCAGGACUGUGUUUGCCACUUCAUGAGCUGCAGAGCAAGAGGAGCCAACUUUAGGAGAAGGCAUAUUGUGAUACCCUCACUGUAUGCUUCUUGGGCACCCAUUCUUGAAGAGUUUUUGGAAUAUUUCCACAAUCUGAUGUUAAAAGACAGCUCAGAAAAAGAGGGAAUUGGAAUUUCCCUUUGGAAGAGCCCCUCUCUGUCCAUUGAUGGGCAUGGAAAUGUGCCUUCUUAAAUGAGAUUUCUUUUACAAUGCAUUCUGUUCAGGCCAGAAUCUGCUUAACUGUCCAGUGAAAGAAAAAGUAAAAAUGAAAAAAGAAAAUGAAGAAGUUAAUUAUACCAGAAAUCAACGAAGCUGAACGGCUUCCCGAAGAGCACUGAGUUUUCUAUGCCAGAUUCUGCUCCAGUGGCUAGGACCUUUAUGGCUGCUGUUUCUUUUGCUCUGGGAUCUGAUGGAGAGAAAAAAAAAAUAAAAAAAGCCACGGUGGAUCUUGUCCCUAAAGUAGAAAUUUUCUUUUUCAUUCUGCAAACAAGGCUAAAGAUCGGAGGAGAAUGAAUGCAAAAGUAAUUCAGGAUUGUGGUCGUGCCAUUAAAAGUGUUCGGCUUCAGAACAAAAUUAUUCGGGAAAUCCGAGCAUUUCUUCUUACUGUAUCGACAGUAUUUGAAAGUUAUGUGUGCUUUGAGUAAUCUGGUUCAAGUGACAACAAUCUCUGCAUGUCAAUGUUUUCUGCAGCUUAUGGAGUGAAGUAUAGUUUUGCCAUUGGAAAGGAAGAAGCUUUUUGUAGCAGUCUGUAGAAGGAUUAAAUGUUGAACGUGGGGAAGAGGCAAAAAGUGAAUACACGCCCAAAGGUUAUCCUUGCAUCGUGAAUGGGUUUAAAGUACUCUGCAACCCAGGGCCCACCUGAACAGUAGGACUGAAAGUAUAAUGGGGAAAUAUUUCAAUUAGAACCCCCUUAACAAGCAUUUAAUCCUUCUUUCAGGCAUUAAGGAAAAUAUAAUAAAAUUGUUACUGUACAAAUCUGCUGGAAGCAGAUUUUUAACCCGUUUAUAGAGGCUUCCCUCAGAUGCAUUAUAAUAAUAUGGCUGCUUGCAAGAUGAAGCAGUGAAGAUUUUUUUCCUGUGUUCUUUGUUUUUUCUUUUCAAAAGUUAAGGACUAUACUCUCAGAAAAGUCUGUUCGGUCAGCUGAUACAUUGUUUGAAUGUAUGUAUGUGUCUUGCCUGCUUAUUUGAUCUUUUCUGCCCCCUACUUGAAACUGUGGUUUGUUUAUCUGGGGGGAAGGAGGGGUUGUUGAUUUGGGGGGAUGCUGUUUUUAGGGUUUUUUGGGGGGGUUGUGUGGGGUGUUUUUUUUAACAAUAGCAGUGAAAGUUUUGCUGACAGCGAUUAUGACUACUAAGCAAUUCAGUUUAUUGGAAGACGAAUUCUACUGGACCAUAUCGGACUUUUCCUAGUCCCUGAGACCCUAACUUGUGAGGUUUUUUAGCAACAAUCACAAGUCAGGCUCUUGGGACCUAGGCGGAGGGGAACCAGCAGCUUUGGACUGUGAUUGUUUCUCUGCAGAAUUUAGAGAACCAAAGGAGCUUUCCUUGUCUCGAAGGGUAAAAAGGAAAAGAUACCUAUUUCAAAUGUUAAGCAACACAACUGUUCCUAAAAGAAAAAAGAAAAAAAAAAUCUAAACAACUGCUAUCCAUUGUACAACAUUAGGAAGUUACAUAUUUAUAUGUUUAGAAAACUGAACUAAAUGCCAUGUAACAUUUAGAAUUAAAAUUUAAUCUGAAUACCAGUUUGCACCUAAAAAAAAAAAGCCCAAACAACAAAAACAACAAAACCCCCCUCUCAAAACUGAUACUAAAAUAUACAAAAGGCUUUCAACUAUAGUAUUACUAUUACUAUUAUAGAAAAUUCUGAUAAUUACCACAAAGUAUAGAGUCAUCCUGACUGUUGCAGCAUUAACUUUUAAAACAUAAAACAAAAACACUGAUGUUUGAGGCCUAGAAAACAUUCAUUCUAUUGUUUGAAUAAUGAUUUCAGUCUACAGGAAAACUGUUGCUUAGCUUUUCCUGUAACAUGGGACAAAGAGUAUUUUGUAGUUAAUUGCCAUCUUUUUUCUUUGUCCAAGUGAAAACACAAUAUGUCAUUUAAAAUAUUCUCUCAUUUAAUUUACAUUUUAAUCUGAGAUGGAAUAUUGGUUUAAAAAUCAUACUACAGCAUUAAAAUCACUUUGCACCCAGAAUCACUUUCUUGUACCUGUUCAACUUAAAGUGAGCCACCAGUACUCUAAGUACCAGACCCAACUUCUAGCUUCUCCAUCACUUUUUGCAUUUUUCACCCCUCUGACAAAAAGCAGUGUGAGCUUUAGAUUGUCCCUCAUGUGUUAAGUACUUCACUGACUUUGCAUAAGAAGAUUCACAAGCAAACGAGGUAUUUCACAAGCACACUGUUCAUUAAACUCAAACUUCCUAUCUACAACACAGAAUAUGAUUUGUAUUUCUUAAUAUUUUAUAGGUGGUUUAGUUCUGAGUAAUUUUUCUCUGUUUCCUGUGUCUAACCAAGAUGCUGCAAGACCUUGUUGAUGCAUCAGACUUCACUGAAACAAAGACUUCACACAGAUCAGGCAUCUAAACUAUUUGUUCAUUUCAGAAGUGGUAUUUUGGCUGCAGUAUAUUUUUUCCACUUGCGUGGGAGGAAUUGUGUUUUAUUGUAAGCAUCAACACUAUUGUUAAAAUAAAUGGUUCUUAUCUGUUAGUAUAA